rfam:Pseudomonas chlororaphis subsp. aureofaciens 30-84 chromosome, whole genome shotgun sequence.
UUUUAUGGCGGCUGUACGUGGGGCACCCUCGGGUGCGCCGGUUCUUCAGUCCGGUCUUCCACACCCACGUACGGCUGCCACCUCU